rnacentral:rRNA from 1 species
UACAGAGGGUGCGAGCGUUAAUCGGAAUUACUGGGCGUAAAGCGCACGUAGUCGGCUUUGCAAGUCGGGUGUGAAAUCCCCGGGCUCAACCUGGGAACUGCAUCCGAGACUGCAUUGCUAGAGUAUGGGAGAGGGAAGCGGAAUUUCUGGUGUAGCAGUGAAAUGCGUAGAUAUCAGAAGGAACACCAGUGGCGAAGGCGACUACCUGGCCUGUUUCUUGACGCUGAGGCGCGAAAGCUAGGGGAGCAAACGGG